rnacentral:rRNA from 1 species
GACGAACGCUGGCGGCGUGCUUAGCACAUGCAAGUCGAACGGGAGUAUUGAAGAAGCUUGCUUUAGAGAUACUUUAGUGGCGGACGGGUGAGUAACGCGUGAGGAGCUGUCCUAUGCAGGGGGACAACAGCUGGAAACGGCUGCUAAUACCCCAUAAGCCGAGAGGUAAAAGGAUCAAUCCGGCAGAGGAGGUACUCGCGUCCUAUCAGCUAGUAGGUGAGGUAACGGCUCACCUAGGCGAAGACGGGUAGCCGGCCUGAGAGGGCGAACGGCCACACUGGAACUGAGAUACGGUCCAGACUCCUACGGGAGGCAGCAGUGGGGAAUAUUGGACAAUGGGGGAAACCCUGAUCCAGCCAUGCCGCGUGCAGGAUGAAGGCCUUCGGGUUGUAAACUGCUUUGUACGGACGAAAGGUCUUUUCUAAUAAAGAAGACUCAUGACGGUACCGUAAGAAUAAGCACCGGCUAAUUACGUGCCAGCAGCCGCGGUAAGCAUACUCGUA